rnacentral:rRNA from 1 species
AGAAUGAACGCUGGCGGCAUGCCUAACACAUGCAAGUCGAACGAGACCUUCGGGUCUAGUGGCGCACGGGUGCGUAACGCGUGGGAAUCUGCCCUUAGGUACGGAAUAACUCAGGGAAACUUGUGCUAAUACCGUAUGAUGUCGAGAGACCAAAGAUUUAUCGCCUAGGGAUGAGCCCGCGUAGGAUUAGCUAGUUGGUGGGGUAAAGGCCUACCAAGGCUACGAUCCUUAGCUGGUCUGAGAGGAUGAUCAGCCACACUGGGACUGAGACACGGCCCAGACUCCUACGGGAGGCAGCAGUGGGGAAUAUUGGACAAUGGGCGAAAGCCUGAUCCAGCAAUGCCGCGUGAGUGAAGAAGGCCUUCGGGUUGUAAAGCUCUUUUACCCGGGAAGAUAAUGACUGUACCGGGAGAAUAAGCUCCGGCUAACUCCGCGCCAGCAGCCGC